rnacentral:rRNA from 1 species
UACAGAGGUCCCAAGCGUUGUUCGGAUUCACUGGGCGUAAAGGGUGCGUAGGCGGCCGGGUAAGUCUGAUGUGAAAUCCCGCAGCUUAACUGCGGAACUGCAUCGGAUACUCUCCGGCUAGAGGACUGGAGGGGAGACUGGAAUUCUCGGUGUAGCAGUGAAAUGCGUAGAUAUCGAGAGGAACACCAGUGGCGAAGGCGAGUCUCUGGACAUUUCCUAACGCUGAGGCACGAAAGCCAGGGGAGCAAACGGG